UACGUAGGUGGCAAGCGUUGUCCGGAUUUACUGGGCGUAAAGAGCGCGUAGGCGGACCUGCAAGUCGGGGGGUGAAAGCCCGAGGCUCAACCUCGGAACUGCCUUCGAUACUGCGGGUCUCGAGUCCGGGAGAGGUGAGUGGAAUUCCUAGUGUAGAGGUGAAAUUCGUAGAUAUUAGGAAGAACACCAGUGGCGAAGGCGGCUCACUGGUCCGGUACUGACGCUGAGGUGCGAAAGCGUGGGGAGCAAACAGGG
rnacentral:rRNA from 1 species